UACAGAAGGUGCGAGCGUUAAUCGGAAUUACUGGGCGUAAAGGGUGCGUAGGCGGUCGGGUAAGUCUGGCGUGAAAUCUCCAAGCCUAACUUGGAAACUGCGUUGGAUACUAUCCGGCUCGAGGAAUGGAGGGGAGACUGGAAUACUUGGUGUAGCAGUGAAAUGCGUAGAUAUCAAGUGGAACACCAGUGGCGAAGGCGAGUCUCUGGACAUUUCCUGACGCUGAGGCACGAAAGCCAGGGGAGCAAACGGG
rnacentral:rRNA from 1 species